GUCUAUGGUCAUGCCACCCUGAACAUGCCCGAUCCCAUCUGAUCUCGGAAGUUAAGCAGGGUUGGACCUGGUUAGUACUUGGUUGGGAGACCACCUAGGAAGACCAGGUGCUGUAGGCU
rnacentral:rRNA from 1 species